GACGUAGGGCGCGAGCGUUGUCCGGAUUUAUUGGGCGUAAAGAGCUCGUAGGCGGCUUGUCGCGUCGACUGUGAAAUCCCGCGGCUCAACCGCGGGUCUGCAGUCGAUACGGGCAGGCUAGAGUUCGGUAGGGGAGACUGGAAUUCCUGGUGUAGCGGUGAAAUGCGCAGAUAUCAGGAGGAACACCGAUGGCGAAGGCAGGUCUCUGGGCCGAUACUGACGCUGAGGAGCGAAAGGCGUGGGGAGCGAACAGG
rnacentral:rRNA from 1 species